GGAAUAUUGGACAAUGGCCGCAAGGCUGAUCCAGCCAUGCCGCGUGCAGGAUGAAGGCGCUCAGCGUUGUAAACUGCUUUUGUUCGGGAAACAACCCCCCGUUUCUACGGGGGCUGAUGGUACCGAGAGAAUAAGGGACGGCUAACUUCGUGCCAGCAGCCGCGGUAAUACGAAGGUCCCAAGCGUUAUCCGGAUUUAUUGGGUUUAAAGGGUGCGUAGGCGGACUAUUAAGUCAGUGGUGAAAGCCCCGGGCCCAACCCGGGAAUUGCCAUUGAUACUGAUGGUCUUGAGUACAAUUGAGGAGGGCGGAAUGUGUCAUGUAGCGGUGAAAUGCUUAGAUAUGACACAGAACACCGAUUGCGUAGGCAGCUCUCUAAACUGUAACUGACGCUGAGGCACGAAAGCGUGGGGAGCAAAC
rnacentral:rRNA from 1 species